GUCGAACGAUGAAGCCUAGCUUGCUGGGUGGAUUAGUGGCGAACGGGUGAGUAACACGUGAGUAACCUGCCCUUGACUCUGGGAUAAGCGCUGGAAACGGCGUCUAAUACCGGAUAUGACCUGCCCCGGCAUCGGGUGUGGGUGGAAAGUUUUUCGGUCAAGGAUGGACUCGCGGCCUAUCAGCUUGUUGGUGAGGUAAUGGCUCACCAAGGCGACGACGGGUAGCCGGCCUGAGAGGGUGACCGGCCACACUGGGACUGAGACACGGCCCAGACUCCUACGGGAGGCAGCAGUGGGGAAUAUUGCACAAUGGGCGAAAGCCUGAUGCAGCAACGCCGCGUGGGGGAUGACGGCCUUCGGGUUGUAAACCUCUUUUAGUAGGGAAGAAGGGCUUCGGCUUGACGGUACCUGCAGAAAAAGCACCGGCUAACUACGUGCCAGCAGCCGCGGUAAUACGUAGGGUGCAAGCGUUGUCCGGAAUUAUUGGGCGUAAAGAGCUCGUAGGCGGUUUGUCGCGUCUGCUGUGAAAACCCGAGGCUCAACCUCGGGCCUGCAGUGGGUACGGGCAGACUAGAGUGCGGUAGGGGAGAAUGGAAUUCCUGGUGUAGCGGUGGAAUGCGCAGAUAUCAGGAGGAACACCGAUGGCGAAGGCAGUUCUCUGGGCCGUUACUGACGCUGAGGAGCGAAAGCGUGGGGAGCGAACAGGAUUAGAUACCCUGGUAGUCCACGCCGUAAACGUUGGGAACUAGAUGUGGGGGCCUUUCCACGGUCUCCGUGUCGCAGCUAACGCAUUAAGUUCCCCGCCUGGGGAGUACGGCCGCAAGGCUAAAACUCAAAGGAAUUGACGGGGGCCCGCACAAGCGGCGGAGCAUGCGGAUUAAUUCGAUGCAACGCGAAGAACCUUACCAAGGCUUGACAUAUACCGGAAACUUCCAGAGAUGGUUGCCCCGCAAGGUCGGUAUACAGGUGGUGCAUGGUUGUCGUCAGCUCGUGUCGUGAGAUGUUGGGUUAAGUCCCGCAACGAGCGCAACCCUCGUUCUAUGUUGCCAGCACGUUAUGGUGGGAACUCAUAGGAGACUGCCGGGGUCAACUCGGAGGAAGGUGGGGAUGACGUCAAAUCAUCAUGCCCCUUAUGUCUUGGGCUUCACGCAUGCUACAAUGGCCGGUACAAAGGGCUGCGAUACCGUAAGGUGGAGCGAAUCCCAAAAAGCCGGUCUCAGUUCGGAUUGAGGUCUGCAACUCGACCUCAUGAAGUCGGAGUCGCUAGUAAUCGCAGAUCAGCAACGCUGCGGUGAAUACGUUCCCGGGCCUUGUACACACCGCCCGUCAAGUCAUGAAAGUCGGUAACACCCGAAGCCAGUGGCCUAACCGUUAAGGAGGGAGCUGUCGAAGGUGGGAUCGGUGAUUAG
rnacentral:rRNA from 1 species